AGAGCUAAGGAUGUGGACAGUAUUAUAUUUUCUAAAUUUCUAAAUUUUGAACAGUGUUCAAUUUUCUUUGGAAAUACACAGUAAAAGGUACCACUGCCAUUACCAUAUACAGAGUUGCUAGUGAAGAUAGUAUGAAGGAUUCUUGAGGCCACCUCUUCCCCACCCCUUUUGCAUAUUCAGCUCAUCAUCAGAUCAGCUUUCUUCAUUUCGACCCCACCACCACUCCUCUGCAGCGGUACUGAACAAAUGCUUAAUGAAGAAGUGAGGAAUGAUUUUACACAGAAAAAAGGCUCUAAUUUCAAGAAUGCAAAUUGCAGUUUAAAACUGUUCAGCUGCUCGUGAAUAGACACUUGACUGCACACUAAUGAAGUUUUGAACUCUUAUAUGAACCAGCUUUGCAGAGAGAGAGAGAAAAAAGACUAUUCAUUUGGCCAACAUUCAUUGGGUGGCUCUUCUGUGCAUUUUAGGCCAGGCUGCCUGGCUGGGGUGGCAUAUUAGGCAUUUCCUUAAAAGAAUAAUAUUUCAACUGAUGUAGGUAGGCAUGGAGGGUGUACGGCAUAUAUUUUUUUUAAACAAAUAAGUGUCAAAAAUUCCCAACUGUGUAUCUUUUCCUCAUCAAAAAGCUGUCUGUAUUCCAGUUGGUUGUCUGACCCAUGCCCACUUCCACAUUUGCUGCUUUUCUGUCCUGUAUCUUUCUCCAGUCCAUGAGCUGCAGACUUGCAGGAACUGAUUUUUUUGAACUUCUUUGUUCCCUGCUUCUUGCAUGCAUUAGUAAGUGAUGAAUAAAUAUUUGCUGACUGAUUAGA